UACGUAGGGCGCAAGCGUUGUCCGGAAUUAUUGGGCGUAAAGAGCUCGUAGGCGGCCAGUUGCGUCUGCUGUGAAAUCCCGGGGCUCAACCCCGGGCAUGCAGUGGAUACGGGCUGGCUAGAGGCAGGCAGGGGAGAACGGAAUUCCCGGUGUAGCGGUGAAAUGCGCAGAUAUCGGGAGGAACACCGGUGGCGAAGGCGGUUCUCUGGGCCUGUACUGACGCUGAGGGGCGAAAGCGUGGGGAGCGAACAGG
rnacentral:rRNA from 1 species